CAAGUUCCCCUGGUGAACCCAAUGUGAAUUCACGUAUGAGGGCCAGAAAAAUCAGAGGCAGGGGCUGACAGACUGAAGAGCCUCGGUCCAGGGCCGCGGGAGGGGCCGGGCAAUAGCCCGAAAACUCCGCCUCUUCCUGUGGCCGGGAGGAGCCGCUGGGCCCCCGGACACGCGGUUCCUGCACAGACACUCUUCCGCGCCGCCGAAGGCGGCGGCGGUAGCUGCCGUUUACCAGCAGGAAAGGAUGAGAGGCCGGCAGGGGAGGAGGAAGGCGGCUCCCGCGCCGCGUUACCUGAUCAGAGCGGCGACCCUCAUGCUGGGCGCAGUACGCGUUAACAAAGAUUUCAAAGAAGAAAAGCUGGUGAAGAUACCAAUGUCGGCAAGAAUACGGGGAAAGGAACAAUCUCAUGCUUGGUUGCUGGAGAAAGGGAGAGAGAGAGAAGAUCCUAAGCAGGCUCCAUGUUCAGUGCAGAACACAACAUGGGCCCAAUCCCAUGACCCUGGGAUCAUGACCUGAGCCCAAAAAUGAAGAGUUGGAUGCUCAACUGAAUGAGCCACACAGAUGCCCCUCUUUUGUCUGUUUUCAAAAUUUUUUAAGGAUGUAAGGCAAAUCUGGUACUUUUUACUUCAUCAUGGCUGGACCUAUGUUCUAAAUGCAGAAAAAAAAAGAAAAAAAGAAAUUUAUAGUAAAAAUAGAAGAUCUUAUCACACAACUCAGGGCAAGAAUACAACCAAGAUUUGAGUAUAAGGAAUUGAUCAUCUUCAACAACCCAGGUGAUGCUUUCUUUUUCUAUCUCUUAUCUCUGCAUCUCUCCAGUCUCUGCUGACUGGUUGUUUUCUGUUUCUCCAGGCUGUAUGGUUAAAUGUGUCCACUUCAAAAUCAGGCAGAGAAAGGCAGAUACCAUAUGUUUUCACUCAUAUGUGGAUCUUGAGAAACUUAACAGAGGACCAUGGGGGAGAGAAAGGGGGGUAGGUUACAGAGAGAGAGGCAAACCAUAAGACACUCUUAAAUACUGAGAACAAACUGAGGGUUGAUGGGGGGUGGGAGAGAAGGGAAAGUGGGUGAUGGGCAUUGAGGAGGGCAGCUGUUGGGAUGAGCACUGGGUGUUGCAUGGAAAACAAUUUGACAAUAAAUUAUAUUUAAUAUAAAAAAUGUGUCCACUUCACAGGUGUCAGAUUUACAUAUUAUUGUUCUAUUAACUUGCAGAAACUUCUUGAGGUAUUUUCCUUUACAACAUUAAUUUGUUUGCAAAAACAGUUUGAGGUUCCUAGAAAACAUGUAAUUAAAUAUUAUUUUAACAACAUUAUUUUACCUAAGAAUGCUGAUUUGAAUUUACUAUUUAAUAUGGCAUUAUAGUUAAUAUCAAAGUAUUCUGCACAUCAUUUGUUUACCCUUGCACAAUCUAGUUUCACUCAAUUUUAAAAAUAGUUGUUAUGGUUUUGUUGAUUUACUCAUAAUGAUGUCUCCAUUUGUUCUUGAGUGAUUACAACUGAUUUGGAAUCCAUAUGUGUCUACAAAUAAUUUAAAAUUUUCUGCCAUUGCAUAUUUAUGUUCAUGUGUACUCAAUUUUAUAUUUUAUUCUAUUGUCUGAUUAACAUUAAGGCUUUCCUGGAAGCUGUGAUAUCUUCUCAACUUUGCCUUAACUAAAUUGCUUGGUGCUAACAAUAAUUAUUUUUUAUUUGAAAUGUUUCUUAAAAACAAAGCAUAUUAAUUGUCUUUAUGGCAAUUUUUCUAUCAUCAGACACCUUACUACUGAUGUUUUCCCACCACAAAACACAGAUAUCACACCUUUAUCUUUAACAAAUUAAGAGCUGAUUUGGAAUGAAAUUGAAAGUUUAUAACUAUACAUCUCCUGGCAACUUAUGGUACCAUGUAGAAGAAUAUAGAAGAAAUACUACUGAAUAUCAUUGUAUAACUACGACAUUAAGGGUUUUUGAAUGAAAGUGAGUGAUAGGUAAGGUCAAGUAUGCAGUUCAGUUCAAACAUUGUCCAAAAUAUUGGUUGAACAAAUAAGUGAAUAAAUAUUGAAUGUAAUGUGAGCUAUCCCCAUUCAUAAAUUAACCAUGAAUCUCAUUGAAUUGAGAAGAAGUAGAUCAUCUGAAAAUACUGUAUAAUAAAUAUGUGAUUAUAUUCACUAUUUCACAACCUGGCUGUCUUUCUUAAUUAAAAAUUUGUCUUAAUUAAUUUAAAAGCUUGCUGCUGUUUGAUUUUAAAAAUAAUUUGUAGAUGUUUCUUGAAAACACAUUCAUUGUUGAUUUUAUACCUUCCUGGACUGUUUGGAUUUAUUUUUACCAUGUGAAUUUCUUUCCAAGAAAUAAAAUAAAAAUGCUUGUUAAAAAUUCAAAAUGAAAAAAAAAAGUUACAAUAAAAAACUCAUUACUCAGACUUGACACCAAAAGCACAAUCCAUAAAAAUAAAAAUUGAUAAAUUGGACCUUAUCAAAAUUUAAAACUUCUGCUAUGCCAAAGACUGUGUUAAGAAGAUGAAAAGACAGGAGCCCUUUUAUGGCUCAGUUGGUUGGGCAUCUGACUCAAUCUCAGCUUAGGUUUUGAUCUCAUGGUUGUGAGUUCAAACCCCAUGUUGGGCUCUGUGCUGGUCACAAAGCCUACUUAAAAAUAAAAUACUUAGGAAGAUGAAAAAACAAACUACAGAGUAGGAGGAAAUAUUUGUGGAUCAUGUAUUGACAAGGAACUUGUGUCUAGAAUCUAUUAAGAACUUUCAAAGCCCAGUUAUAAUACAGCAAAUAAUCCCAUUACAAAAUGGGCAAAAGACAGCAAGAAAUAUUCCACUGAGGAGGAUAAACAUAUGGGAAAUAAGUACCUGAAAAGAUGUUCAACAUUCUUGGCAAUUUGAAAGGGCACAUUCAAACCACAGUGCAGUCUCAUGCACCCCUAUCAGAAUGGCUAAAAUUAAAAAAAAAAAAAAAAGAUAACACAAAAUCCUGGUGAUGGUGUUGAGAAACUGGUUCACUUGCACAUUGAUAGUGCAGAUUUUAAUGGUAUAGCCACUCUGCUAAAGAGUGUGGCAAUUUCUUAGAAGCUAAACAUGUAUUUAACAAAUGGUUCAGCAAAUGCAUUCUGUCAUUUAUCCUAGAGAUAUGAAAAUGUACAUUCACACAAAAACCUGUACAUGAAUAUUCAAAGCAUCUUUAUCUUAAUAGUCUAAAACUAGAAAUAACCCAAAUGUUCUUCAAUGGAUUAAUGGUUAAAUAAACUGUGGUCCAUACUUCCUAUGAGACACUACUCAGCAAUAAAAAGAGAACUAUUGAUACAUCCUUUCAUAGAUUUCAAUGGAAUUAUGCUGAGUGAAAAAGACCACUCUCAAAAGGUUAUAUGCUGUAUGGUUUCAUUUAUAUAACAGUUUUGAAAUGGAAAAAUUAUAGAAAUGGAAAACAUGAGCUGUUUCCAGGGGUUAGGGAGGGAGUUGGGAGGGAUGGUGCACUGUGGUUAUAAAGGGUAGCACCAACAAGCCUAGUGAUGGAACUCUUCUGUGUACUGACUGUUGUGGUGGUCAGACCAAUCUACACAUAUGAUAAAAUUGUAUGUAUGAAAGUUACAUACACACAUUGACACAAAUGAGGGCAUGUAAAACUAGUAAAAUCUGAAAUAGAUCAUUGGAUUUAAUCAGUGUUAAUUUCCUGGUUGUGAUGUUAUGCUAUAGUUAUGCAAGAUAUUAUCAUUGAGUGAAACUGGCUGAAGGAUUUUUGGGAUCUUGCUGUAUUAUUCUUUGAAACUGCAUGUGAAUCUACAGUUAUCUAAAAGUACAAACUUAAAAAAAAGUGGUUAUUCACUGCUAUUAUGAAUAUACUACUGUAGUCUGUACUUAGCAUUGCUAUAGACAUCAAUCUGAAGAAUGAUAUCGAGUAACUCAUUGGAUCAAGUCAGAAAAUUCUGGGGGACAAAAAAAGAAAAG